rnacentral:lncRNA from 1 species
UGUUGUUGACGACCCACAUGGAGCCGGAUUCCUGUGACUUGGGGCUUCCCCGCGGACCACAUGCCCUAGCGCACGAUUUAGUUGUGCUUGGUCACCUCCCUAGAUAGGUCAGGCGCUACUAUUGCCGCCCGCGAUGGUGUAUUGAGGUUUGACCGGAGGGGGCGACGAGCACGCCUUCCUAUUUGAGGGAGGGGCACUGGGUAGAGGCCUCUUCGUCGUGGGAGCCCUCUUAGCAGUCUGGCUUGGCUUCGUCGACAUGGUAUGCCGCGAUGACAGCCUUGUAGGCGUGCUCGAGGGUGCGCACCGCGUCCUUCUAGUCGCAGCAGAUGCUGAUGGUGCCGCCACAAACGGUCAUCUUGACGAGGCGAUAGGCAUGGUGCCUCACCACCAUGAACCUGGAUAGCGUCGGGUAGCCCAGGAUGCAAUUGUACAGCAGGACGAUGUGCUCCACGUCGAAUUUGAUGAACUCCAUGUGGUAGGUAUCGCGGGUGCCGAAGGUGAUGGGAAGGUGCACCUGCCCCAGGGGAACAGUAGAGCCAUCGAUGACAUCGUAGAUGUCCUGGUACGCAUCAGGCGCUCGUAUGGCACUUGGACCAUCUCGAAUGUCUCCAUAGAGAGCACAUAAUGCCCUGACACAUCCUCGAUGAUCGUCCUGGUGAUGGCCACAUUGCUGACAGUGGGGGAGCACAGCAGCGGGAUGGUGCCCAUGGUCUUCAUGGUCUUGGUA